UACGGAGGGUGCAAGCGUUAUCCGGAUUCACUGGGGUUAAAGGGUGCGUAGGCGGAUAAGUAAGUCAGUGGUGAAAUCUCCGAGCUUAACUCGGAAACUGCCGUUGAUACUAUUUGUCUUGAAUAUUGUGGAGGUAAGCGGAAUAUGUCAUGUAGCGGUGAAAUGCUUAGAUAUGACAUAGAACACCAAUUGCGAAGGCAGCUUACUACACAAUGAUUGACGCUGAGGCACGAAAGCGUGGGGAUCAAACAGG
rnacentral:rRNA from 1 species